AGCUGUGCAUUUGUUUAGCUAAUAAAAUAUAAAAACUGUGUACAACAGUUGUGUACAAUUGUUUAAUUAUGUCAUCCUGGUUAGGGUUGGCCUGACUGACGAUGCCAUCGUCCAUCACGAUGCUGCGCCGGCAAACAGCGUCAUCAGCUCCAGUAUCUCGCCCGUGCAUCUGUUGUCAUGCGACAGAGAAGUCACGUCCUAUAGACAGUUGUGAACGUGCUGACAGCUGGUUGCCCAGGCUAUGGAUUAAAGAUAAUACUGUUGAUCGCCAUCCCAGGGUUUCUAGAGAUUACAGCAGCUCCAGACUGAAUCCAGACUCACUUGUGAAGACUUCAGAUGACACCAACGCUCACAAAGACUACAACUGUACAUGAACACAUAAUACAUUUGACACACAAAACAAAUAUUAUCCUUAUUUUGCCUAUAAGGGUAAAUUUGAUGAUUUUCAACCUGCUUUAUUGUAACGUCUCUUAUAUCUGUAAAUGAACAAUAUUUACUCUC